GAUGAACGCUGGCGGCGUGCCUAAUACAUGCAAGUCGAGCGAACAGACGAGGAGCUUGCUCCUCUGACGUUAGCGGCGGACGGGUGAGUAACACGUGGAUAACCUACCUAUAAGACUGGGAUAACUUCGGGAAACCGGAGCUAAUACCGGAUAAUAUAUUGAACCGCAUGGUUCAAUAGUGAAAGACGGUUUUGCUGUCACUUAUAGAUUGAUCCGCGCCGCAUUAGCUAGUUGGUAAGGUAACGGCUUACCAAGGCAACGAUGCGUAGCCGACCUGAGAGGGUGAUCGGCCACACUGGAACUGAGACACGGUCCAGACUCCUACGGGAGGCAGCAGUAGGGAAUCUUCCGCAAUGGGCGAAAGCCUGACGGAGCAACGCCGCGUGAGUGAUGAAGGUCUUCGGAUCGUAAAACUCUGUUAUUAGGGAAGAACAAAUGUGUAAGUAACUAUGCACGUCUUGACGGUACCUAAUCAGAAAGCCACGGCUAACUACGUG
rnacentral:rRNA from 1 species